rnacentral:rRNA from 1 species
UACGUAGGGCGCAAGCGUUGUCCGGAAUUAUUGGGCGUAAAGAGCUUGUAGGCGGUUUGUCGCGUCUGCUGUGAAAUUUCGGGGCUCAACCCCGAACUUGCAGUGGGUACGGGCAGACUAGAGUGUGGUAGGGGAGACUGGAAUUCCUGGUGUAGCGGUGAAAUGCGCAGAUAUCAGGAGGAACACCAAUGGCGAAGGCAGGUCUCUGGGCCACUACUGACGCUGAGAAGCGAAAGCAUGGGGAGCGAACAGG